rnacentral:rRNA from 1 species
CCUACGGGAGGCAGCAGUGGGGGAUAUUGCACAAUGGAGGGAACUCUGAUGCAGCAAUGCCGCGUGAAGGAAGAAGGUUUUCGGAUUGUAAACUUCUAUCAGCAGGGAAGAAAAUGACGGUACCUGACUAAGAAGCCCCGGCUAACUAUGUGCCAGCAGCCGCGGUAAUACAUAGGGGGCAAGCGUUAUCCGGAAUGACUGGGUGUAAAGGGUGCGUAGGCGGUAAGGUAAGUCUGAUGUGAAAGACUGGGGCUCAACUCCAGGGGUGCAUUGGAAACUAUGUUACUAGAGUACAGGAGAGGGAAGCGGAAUUCCUAGUGUAGCGGUGAAAUGCGUAGAUAUUAGGAGGAACACCGGUGGCGAAGGCGGCUUUCUGGACUGAAACUGACGCUGAGGCACGAAAGCGUGGGG